rnacentral:lncRNA from 7 species
GGUUCAGUGUGAAAACUGACUGAAUGACGCAUGCAGAUGCAGGCAGCAGGUGAAGAGCAGAGAUUGACCUGGUGGAGUCCUGGACGGACGAGGACGAUCUCUCGUCUCGUCGCUUGCUGGCCAGAGUCGCAUGCAGCUCCGAUCCAGGUCGGAUUCACUUCAGGUUCAGAUGAGGCAUGGUUUGGAAGUCUUCCAAGAAGCAAUCAUUACCAUGUUGAUAUGAAUAGAGAUAAUCAACUUUGGGCGGCCAACAUGUGCGAUCAGCUAGUUCAACAAAUGCGGGACGAUUGGAACCAAAGUUGAUGUUUUUCUUGUUGCAUGUAACUGCAUUCAGACCUUAUUUAUGGUUUUAAGUGGUUGUUUUCAGACCAUGUUUACGUUUUAAAGUGGUUGAAUUUAGACCAUGCAUUUAGACCCUAUUUUAUGGUUUUAAGUGGUUGUUUUCAUAUCCUAUUUUAUAGUUUUAAGUGGCUGUAUUCAGACCAUGUUUAUGUUUUUAAGUGGUUGUAUUGAGACCCUAUUUAAUGGUUUGAAGUGGUUGUAUUUAGACCCUAUUUUAUGGUUUUAAGGGGAUAUAUUCAGACAAUGCUUAUGUAUUUAAGUGGUUUUAAGUGGUUGUAUUCAGACCCUAUUUUAUGGUUUUAAGUG